rnacentral:rRNA from 1 species
GACGAACGCUGGCGGCGUGCUUAACACAUGCAAGUCGAACGGAAAGGCCCUGCUUUUGUGGGGUGCUCGAGUGGCGAACGGGUGAGUAACACGUGAGUAACCUGCCCUUGACUUUGGAUAACUUCAGGAAACUGGGGCUAAUACCGGAUAGGAGCUCCUGCUGCAUGGUGGGGGUUGGAAAGUUUCGGCGGUUGGGGAUGGACUCGCGGCUUAUCAGCUUGUUGGUGGGGUAGUGGCUUACCAAGGCUUUGACGGGUAGCCGGCCUGAGAGGGUGACCGGCCACAUUGGGACUGAGAUACGGCCCAGACUCCUACGGGAGGCAGCAGUGGGGAAUAUUGCACAAUGGGCGGAAGCCUGAUGCAGCGACGCCGCGUGCGGGAUGACGGCCUUCGGGUUGUAAACCGCUUUCGCCUGUGACGAAGCGUGAGUGACGGUAAUGGGUAAAGAAGCACCGGCUAACUACGUG